UAGGCUCGUCUUAAUAUACCCUACCAUAACGUUGGAACUCCCAUUCACGAUUGUCCAAAGGACAAACAUUCCUAGUGUUUAACCAUCUUGAGAUGCAGUGAAAGUGAAAUGCAUGCUUUUGUAUUUGUUAAAAACAGUCCUGAGCUAAGAAUACGAAAGAAAUCGAAUUAAAACUUACAUUACAAGUUCCCCAUGCCACUGUGCACUCUUGAGCAGCAGCAGAAUCGGUGUUAGCUUGACACUCAAUACAUAAGUCCAUAAUAUGAUUUCUGCAGAUAGCACAGUUAUCUACAACAAUGUCCCAUUGCCAUAAUGCUACAGCAUUCCACUAAAUUGAAGGUAAGCAAUAUGAAUCAGAAGAACUCAUAAAAAAAGCAAAGAGAGUAAACUAGUACUUAAGUGUAUGCUUAUUUUAAAAUAGCAAAUAUAUCUUUGGGUAUUAAUUUUCACAGUUUACUUUGCUUUAUGGCAAAUUUGAUACACAUGAAGAACAUGAUCAUAAAAAUAAUGACGAACCUUUUUAAUUUCAAAUCGAGGAGGUUUUUGUUCAAUUUCCACCUCCUUCUUGUCUAUUUGCAUUUCAUCUUCCAUUGUGAUGAGUAAAAUAGAGCAAAGCCGCUACUUCGUUUUAAGAUGAGAUGUUUAAGCGGUGUGAUAAAGGGGGUUGAAAAUUGCAGCUUCGCUAAGCAAUACUCAAACAUAAGAUAAUUUUUGGAGUAAUGUAAUAAAUUUUGCUAAAACACAAGUAUUUAAUAUAAUAAAUAAUGGAUCAUGGAUCUUUCAAUCGCAAAAUGCGUACUCAAAA